rnacentral:tRNA from 1 species
CCGUCCGGCAGGUCGGCGAGCUUGGCGCUCCAGGUGCGCUGGCUGCCGUCAGCGUUGAGGCGGGCGGCGUGCAGCGCAUCGUCGAUGGCC